rnacentral:rRNA from 1 species
UACGUAGGGUGCGAGCGUUGUCCGGAAUUACUGGGCGUAAAGAGCUCGUAGGUGGUUUGUCGCGUUGUCCGUGAAAACUCACAACUCAAUUGUGGGCGUGCGGGCGAUACGGGCAGACUGGAGUACUGCAGGGGAGACUGGAAUUCCUGGUGUAGCGGUGGAAUGCGCAGAUAUCAGGAGGAGCACCGGUGGCGAAGGCGGGUCUCUGGGCAGUAACUGACGCUGAGGAGCGAAAGCGUGGGGAGCGAACAGG